rnacentral:rRNA from 1 species
GAUGAACGCUGGCGGCGUGCCUAAUACAUGCAAGUCGAGCGAACGGACGAGAAGCUUGCUUCUCUGAUGUUAGCGGCGGACGGGUGAGUAACACGUGGAUAACCUACCUAUAAGACUGGGAUAACUUCGGGAAACCGGAGCUAAUACCGGAUAAUAUUUUGAACCGCAUGGUUCAAAAGUGAAAGACGGUCUUGCUGUCACUUAUAGAUGGAUCCGCGCUGCAUUAGCUAGUUGGUAAGGUAACGGCUUACCAAGGCAACGAUGCAUAGCCGACCUGAGAGGGUGGUCGGCCACACGAGAACUGGAACACGGUCCAGGCGCCUACGGGAGGGAGCAGAAGCGAAUGGGCCGCAAUGGGCGAAAGCCUGGCGGAGCAACGCCGAGUGAGUGAUGAAGGUCUUCGGAUCGUAAAACUCUGUUAUUAGGGAAGAACAUAUGUGUAAGUAACUGUGCACAGCGUGACGGUACCUAAUCAGAAAGCCACGGCUAACUACGUG